rnacentral:tRNA from 1 species
GAGCGACUAGCCCAACGGUAGAGGCAUUGCGCUUAGGACGCAAUCAGUCGGAGUUCAAAUCUCCGGUCGCUCACCA